rnacentral:rRNA from 1 species
AUUGAACGCUGGUGGCAGGCCUAACACAUGCAAGUCGAACGAGUGGCGGACGGGUGAGUAAUGUCUGUGAAACUGCCCGAUGGAGGGGGAUACCUACUGGAAACGGUAGCUAAUACCGCAUACCAUCGGAUUUGCCCAGAUGGGAUUAGCUUGUAGGUGAGUUCACGGCUCACCUAGGCGACGGGCCCUAGCUGGUCUGAGAGGAUGACCAGCCAAACUGGAACGGAGACACGGUCCAGAGUCCUACGGGAGGCAGCAGUGGGGAAGAUUGCACAAUGGGCGCAAGCCUGAUGCAGCCAUGCCGCGUGUAUGAAGAAGGCCUUCGGGUUGUAAAGUACUUUCAGCGGGGAGGCGUUACCCGCAGAAGAAGCACCGGCUAACUCCGUGCCAGCCGCCGCGGUAAUAC